rnacentral:SRP_RNA from 1 species
GUCGAGCUUGGCAACGCAAGCUUAUGAUCCGAGUGGAGACAAUAAGGUGAUGGGACGGUGUCCUGACUUGCCUGGGAAUGGUUUGGUGAGAUCUACCUACUGGCCCAAGUUUAAUGGAGUUCGGUGGGCUACAAUGGCCUGGCGUUAGUCGCCGGCCGAAGGAAUCUGGGUUUAAAUUGGACCAUCACUUUU